AUUGAACGCUGGCGGCUGGCCUAACACAUGCAAGUCGAACGAGUGGCGGACGGGUGCGUAAUGUCUGGGAACCUGCCUGAUGGAGGGGGAUAACUACUGGAAACGGUUGCUAAUACCGCAUACCAUCGGAUGUGCCCCGAUGGGAUUAGCUAGUAGGUGGGGUAACGGCUCACCUAGGCGCCGAUCCCUAGCUGGGCUGAGAGGAUGACCAGCCACACUGGAACGGAGAGACGGUCCAGACUCCUACGGGAGGCAGCAGUGGGGAAUAUGGCACAAUGGGCGCAAUCCUGAGGCAGCCAUGCCGCGGGUAUGAAGAAGGCGUUCGGGUUGUAAAGUGCUUGAAGCGAGGAGGCGUUACCCGCAGAAGAAGCACCGGCUAACUCCGUGCCAGCAGCCGCGGUAAUUC
rnacentral:rRNA from 1 species